rnacentral:rRNA from 1 species
GGCGAGUGAGCGGCAAAGCUCAAAUUUGAAAUCUAGCACCUUCGGUGUUCGAGUUGUAAUUUGAAGAUGGUAACCUUGGGUUUGGCUCUUGUCUAUGUUCCUUGGAACAGGACGUCAUAGAGGGUGAGAAUCCCGUCUGAUGAGAUGCCCAUUCCUAUGUAAGGUGCUAUCGAAGAGUCGAGUUGUUUGGGAAUGCAGCUCUAAGUGGGUGGUAAAUUCCAUCUAAAGCUAAAUAUUGGCGAGAGACCGAUAGCGAACAAGUACAGUGAUGGAAAGAUGAAAAGAACUUUGAAAAGAGAGUGAAAAAGUACGUGAAAUUGUUGAAAGGGAAGGGCCUUAGAUCAGACUUGGUGUUUUACGAUUAUCUUCUCUUCUUGAGUUGUGCACUCGUAUUUCACUGGGCCAGCAUCGAUUCGGAUGGCAAGAUAAUGGCAGUUGAAUGUGGCUUCACUUCGGUGGAGUGUUAUAGCUUCUGCUGAUAUUGCCUGUCUGGAUCGAGGGCUGCGUCUUUUGACUAGGAUGCUGGCGUAAUGAUCUAAUGCCGCCCGUCAGAA